rnacentral:pre_miRNA from 1 species
AGUCUUCUGAAUCUACCGAAAUUUUAUCAAACCCCAGACCAUCAGUACUGAUGAAACUUCCUAGAUAAGUAAAGCG